CGGACAACCUCCAUUCCUGAGGUAUCUAACUCUGAGGAUCUACUGUAAUCAGGUUAAGGAGACUGUGUGCUGUCACCAAAUCCCGCAUUUAUUUUAAGCAUUCCCACUAUAGAAGAAAUACAGAAAACAUCAAUAAAGAAAACAAAGGAGCAACAUGGCUAAAACAACAUUGCAAAUAUCUUGCAAAACUCAUCUGGAAAGGCAUCACAUCACAGAAUGAAACUUCUUUACAUCUCCCAAGACAUGUUUCUGUGAUUUGUCUUAAACAGAAUGGCAGUUCUGUCUUCAAUCACAUAUAAACCCAGCUGUUCCCAGCAGAAAAUGAAAAUGAGGCCUUCCAGAGACCCUAACUUUGCACAAAUACCAGUGCCUUUCGUAUCAGAGAGAGACAUCCUUGGAUGCCGUCAUAGGAGACAUGGGGAUGGACAGGAAGAAAGGCAGUCUUUCACCAAAUAAACCUUCUUGUGCUACAAUUAAACUCUGUUCACAGUUAGCUUUUUUUGACAAAAAAUAGA